ACUCCUACGGGAGGCAGCAGUGGGGAAUAUUGCACAAUGGGCGCAAGCCUGAUGCAGCCAUGCCGCGUGUAUGAAGAAGGCCUUCGGGUUGUAAAGUACUUUCAGCGGGGAGGAAGGCGAUAAGGUUAAUAACCUUGUUGAUUGACGUUACCCGCAGAAGAAGCACCGGCUAACUCCGUGCCAGCAGCCGCGGUAAUACGGAGGGUGCAAGCGUUAAUCGGAAUUACUGGGCGUAAAGCGCACGCAGGCGGUCUGUCAAGUCGGAUGUGAAAUCCCCGGGCUCAACCUGGGAACUGCAUUCGAAACUGGCAGGCUAGAGUCUUGUAGAGGGGGGUAGAAUUCCAGGUGGAGCGGUGAAAUGCGUAGAGAUCUGGAGGAAUACCGGUGGCGAAGGCGGCCCCCUGGACAAAGACUGACGCUCAGGUGCGAAAGCGUGGGGAGCAAACAGGAUUAGAAACCCCAGUAGUCCC
rnacentral:rRNA from 1 species